CGUUACGCGACGCGCCUCAUCGCAGCGGAGCUGUACGUCAUCAGUGUGCGCAGCGCCGGUCACGUGCCCCUUGUUUACCUCCGGCGGGAGUUGCGCCGCUGCGGGCUGUGAGCGGGCGGCUUCCCUGGGAGGAGGGGAAGCACCUCGCGGCGAGGGCAGGCUUCCAAUGUCGCUGCCAACAAAGAGGUGUGGAAGACCCCCGGUGUUGUCUUUUUUGGAAAAGAAAAAGAGAAAGCAAAGUCUUGAUAGGAGGAGAGGGAAAACCAGGAUUUAUGUUGGAAAUCAUAUUGACCGAUGGCUGACACUGAAGGAAAAACUGGAUUUCAGAAAUGAUGCAGAAGUUGCUGGGUUUUUAUUGGACUUGUAUGACAACUAUGACCCGCUGACAAAAGCUCCCAUCUGUUCCCUCCCCGGGGAUGUGAGAAGAAUUACUGUGAAAGAAGACAGAACACUGUCAGACAGUGCUUGCUUAAUAGCAGCUGACGGAACGUAUGAUGAUGGUGACCAACUGUCUAAAGCGGCUGCUUGUUCUGAAUAUGGAGACUUCAGAAUUGUCACUGUGAAAGAAGAGCGAGAGAUGCCACCUCAUUGUUCAUCAGUGGAGACAGAUAACACAAAAGAAAAAUGUUUCUUUGUUGACUGUUCGAGUGAUAACGCAUACGAAGUGAUGCAUAAACCUACUUAG
ensembl:lncRNA